AUUUCUAAUCACGUGACAUUUCCUGCCUUUUCUGGAAAAAUGGCUAGCAUCAUCCGCGUUGAGAAAGAAUCCAUUCGAUAUUGUCGAAGUAUGAAUUGCAGACGAAUAAAAUCGAAACAGGCAACUCUAAAUCAAUGGAGAAUGCAUUCAUUGAUUUGCAAGUACAAAUAUUUUUACAGAUCAUUGCUUAUUUUCAUUGGAGAGAAAUCAAACGUUCACCAUUUCAAUAAUGAAAUGGCGAAGAACGAGAAUAACUACUGUAUAUGAAUAAAUAUGAACUAUGAAUAACUAGAAUGGUGUAGAAUAACU
rnacentral:lncRNA from 1 species